rnacentral:rRNA from 1 species
GCAGUAGCCGCGUAAUACAGAGGGUGCGAGCGUUAAUCGGAUUUACUGGGCGUAAAGCGUGCGUAGGCGGCUUCUUAAGUCGGAUGUGAAAUCCCUGAGCUUAACUUAGGAAUUGCAUUCGAUACUGGGAAGCUAGAGUAUGGGAGAGGAUGGUAGAAUUCCAGGUGUAGCGGUGAAAUGCGUAGAGAUCUGGAGGAAUACCGAUGGCGAAGGCAGCCAUCUGGCCUAAUACUGACGCUGAGGUACGAAAGCAUGGGGAGCAAACAGGAUUAGAUACCCGAGUAGUCCCUGUCUCUUAUACA